UUAGCCCUGCUGUGUUCGUGAUGCAGCACGACCGGUUUUGAGCCAACACCCCCUUAAAGGGACCCACAUCAAUCCUGUGAAGCGAUAGGCUUCGGCCAAGGCUGAUCAGGGCUGGAGGGCCCCGCCUGCGAAAGCAGGUUCAAAACUAUGCGGCACACGGCACGGCGGGGUCUUU
rfam:Chloroflexi bacterium GWB2_54_36 gwb2_scaffold_4471, whole genome shotgun sequence.